GCAAACUGCCAAAUUGCUCAAGAACAGAACAGUCUCUUCUGUGGAUAAGGAAAAACAGUCUGAUGGCCAGUACAUUUCGUAAAGAGGGUAAAAACGGUGCUUGGUGCUUUAUAAGGCAGAAUUAAAGAUGAUUAAAGAUGUUCCUUAUCUUCUGCAGGAGAAUCUUCCCAGCAGCGAUGCAAUAGAUGGGCUCACUAAAAAGUGAUAUCAGAAGAAAGUGAUUUAACACAGAGGAAAAUUGUUUGCACUUAAUGAGGAAAUAUGCUACAAAUUCUCAUGGAACAAGAUUGAGGUAAUCAAGAUGAGUUUGACCAUCCCAGACUGACAGCAGCCAUCUUCUGUCAGAGGCACCCAUCAGAUCACAGUCCAUUUGUAAAAUAAAUGGUACCUGUGAAUGACAGUUGGAAUUUCUACCAAACUUAACCUUAAAUGUGCAGUUUCUAACAUCUUCUAGGUGCACUGGAGAGGAAAUAGGGAAGAAGGAGACCAAUGACUUUGUAGUGGUAUUUGCAUCUUGUUCCUUUCCUUCACUGGAGAUGUCUGUGUGUGUCAAGUUUUCUCUGGAAAUUCCUGCUACAUUUUGAAGGUCCUAAAUCACAAGUGGCAAAAGAAUGCUCCUAAAAAUAACCCCCUCCUUCUAACUACCCAUUUUGUGGUUUAAGAUUCAGUGUGAGGAGGUUAUUUCCCACCUUUUCCGCACCGGUGACAAAGCUUGUGAUGGAAGAAGGUUAGAUGCAAGCAGAGCCCAGGCACGCAUGACCUGCCCUCUGUCAAGCCCAUGAUGCAAGGACCUGUGCUUGCAGGGACCUCCCUGGCAGGAGGUGACAGGGGGCAAAGGAGGGGAGCAGGGCAGGAACCCCCAGCAGAGUGCAGUGAAGGCAAAAGCUUCAUCCUUAGUCUGUUUUGGAGCCAUUUCUGCUCUGUGCUGCUCUUUAACUGGAGCAAGCAAUAAAUAUAACCUGGCCUUCCUUGGUAAUAGGAUAAAAGAAAUGCAGAUUUAGUUCAGAACGGCUAUUGUGUUACUAGUGUUGCCUGGGUCACAGCUCCCAUCCUCAAGCCCUCCUUUAUCUUCCUUUAUUCUCUUUGUACUUCUACCUGGGGAAAAAUAAAAAUAAAAAUUAUUAAUAAUAAAUCCCUUAUUCAGGAGGGAAAUGCUUCUCCACUCUUUACAGGUUGCUCUAAUUUCCCCCUCCUCACCUCAAAGCUCUGUCACCGAUAAAUUCAUGCUUUCCAGCCUUGCACCCUCACGACCAUCUUUUCCACUGACAUUGAGAAUUACUAAAACAAAGAGCUAUCAAAUAUAAAUCAUGCAAUCUCUACUCUGGCACAGCAGGAAUUUCUCUUCUGUUCUUUUCUAGCUGCAGAGAAGCUUGUGAAAAAAAUCAAAACAAACUGAGAAAAAGAAAAUCAAACUCGUAAUCAAAAUUAUUAUGUUUUUGGGUGAGUGCACUCAGACCUCCAGCCUAAUAGAAGUCUCAGACUUGACAAACAUGAAGUCCAAAAAAUAAAGAUAUUUCUUAGUAAAAUCAUGGAUGGUAUUUGAAAAUUGAGAGAAGAAGCUGUCCUUCAGAUUGGGAUCUAUAUUUUACACUGUCUUCUCACACAAAAGCCUUCUCCUUCUAAACAUGUUGGCAGGGAGGGAAAAGAUGGUUUGGUUUAAAAGUCAUAUUAGUAAACCCCUAAAACUUCCCUUUUUUCCCCUUUAGACUACAAAGAUGGAGAAUGAGCUCAGUCAUUUAAAGGCACAUCUGCUCAUCCCCAGAAUUUGAUUUCAACCGUUGCCAACUCACCUGAAUUGAUUAUAUGGGAAACGAAGCUUAUCAAGUCCAGUUUCCCAGUUCCAGUGAUUACAGCACUUUGCAAUUCUGUUACUUUUUGCCUGCGGAAUAUGGCAGACAGAAACGUCAUCUUGGUUUAUUUUUUAAAUAACCAGAUUGCUCAGUUAAAAAGGAAGCCCACACAAAAUGGAAACAAUAUUUCUGCUGCUUGAGAAUAAAGAUCCUUCCAUCUCUUAGGAAAGGUUUGCUGCCAAACUGAUGAUUUUUACAUGGCUAAAACAUAUUUUAUAUUCAAAAGCGAAAUAUGUAAAGUUUACUGAAAACAGAGAUGUUUUAUCUGAAAUUUAAAAACCCAGAACAGUCUUUUCCCCUAUAAACAUGAGAGAAAACUUAUAACUGCUUUUUAAUGAUUUCCUUUAUAUGUGGACUGUAAAAUUAGGUUUGACAGAACUUAGAAAUAGAUUCUCCCUCUUAUUUCCCAUGUUUUAAAUAGGAAGGCAGCAGCAGAACGUGUUGCCAUGGUUGUAUUAAAUCACCCUGUCAUUAAUAUCACGCAUCCUUCAUUAUUAAAAGCAACUUAAAAAAACAAAAAGGAGAGGGAGAGAACAACCUUUGGUGUCUUCUCAAGACAAAGGUGGUACAACAGCCACCUCAGUGGUACUUGCAAUAUGCAUGUGGAUAAAGGAAGAUGUUUUUUGUUUAUAUUCCUUUUGUGGGGAAUUAUACAUAUUUUUUCUGUCUCUGUGUAAAAAGAGAUUUUGCUUAGAGAUUCUAAGCAAAAAUGAUUAGAAGAAAGCUAAAGAUGAAGUAUUUUAGGAGAGGGCACUAAACUGAAAGGAUAUCUGAACUUUCUGCAGAGAUCCUCACGUCCAAGUAUUGUUCUUGUCUUGGCCAGGGAACCUGAAUCAGAACUGCACAGGUUGCAUAGGAGAAAUGUCUGUCUAAUCUUAGAUUUUCCUUUGAACCAAAAUCCUCUGUCUAACUGCUUGGGUCAAAAGGAGCAGCAGUGUUUUACAGCUUAGCUGGCAGAACUUGGUUAUACGUCUGUCUCCUGACAAAUCAGUUUUCUUAAAAGCAGAGGUGACUCAGAGAUGCGUGAGGCAGGCAGGCUGUGCACCUCAGCAGCCGUCAGUCGCUUCCCUCCCCACAUCCUUUCAGGGAAGGCAAGCUUACAAGGAACAGCAUGUCUUUUGACUCAGUGGCUUGUGUUGCAAAUAUGCAUAAUAUUGAGACAGAGGCAAAGAGUAGAUGUCCCUCAUCCCAUUUUUUCUUGUUGUUGUUUGAGACAGUAGGAUUUUUCCAUAGCUUCUGUUCCAUAGUUAGACAUAGCUGAGAGCCCUCCCAUUCCUGUUUUUGUCUUUCUGCCGUCAACUGCUAUGCAGCUGGAGGACGAGUUUUUUUAUGGCCAUUUCAAUUGCAGUGUUUGUCACGACUACUGAUAAACAUGAACGACCGCAGUGUCAGAGAGAUCUUUCUCUGUCUUGCACAGUGACAGAUUUUGUUUUCUUUACUGGGGAAAAAUAUCUGAUUCAGCCAGCAAGCAAGUACCCUGGCUUCUGCAGGUGGGCGUGCAGCCUGGGGAAGGUGGCCUGGUCCUAUGGCUGCAGCUUUGUCCUGGGUCCCUGCUGUAGAGCACAGUCAUACCGCACCCAGGUUGCAUUUCAGCCAGAUAGCAUCAUUUCCCAUUAACUUCAAUUUUUGAUUUAUUUAUUCACAUUUUCUACCAGAAUAUUCGACCUGGACUGGAUCCUGGCAUUUUGAAGGCCUAAUUACCAGUCUAAAAGGGAAGUCUGCAUUAAUUGUCAGUAAGACAGUGUGACUAUUAUCAAAGCAAAUGCUGGCAACAUACCCAAAUGCCUGUUAUCAGCAAGGGGAAUAGUCUGCCAACUUUAUGCUAAAGAGAGUUUUCACUCAGAGUGGGAUUUUUAUUUAUUUAUUUAUUUAUUAUUCUGGAAACUACAUCAAAAUGCAAAGGCUAUCUCCAAAAAAGAAUUAUUAUGAAGGAAUGCUGAAACGAAAUGUGAAGAAGGGAGAAUGAGAAAGAAAAAUCUUCAUGGAGAGUUUUUCCCUGGAUGCAUAAUUUGGUUGGAAGGAAACAGAGAAUGGGGAAAGGAGAAGAAGCUGUCUUUUCAUUUGAAGCACAGGAGACUGAAGACAGGUUUUUGGGAGUGCUGCAGGAGCACUCCUACUGCUUCUAAAAUUUCUCGGGGGCUUGAUUAGUACAGCUCACACAUGUUUAAACAGACAGACUCAUUUGUGGGAGGGAAAGAAUAUUUCCACAGGGCAGGUAUUUGAGAUCUGGUUUGUUUCUAUUUUUCUUGCCCUAUCAAAUGGAACAUUACCAGUGAUGAUCUGAGAAUUUCACUUUGCAGAUUUCUUCCUAUUGCAGAGACCCUUGAAGUCUUCUGCUGUGUUUUGUGAUACAUUGCAGCUACUGCGUUUACUGUUAAACAGUAAAGCCUUUGAGCCUUAGAGGUACACAGAGGGUACUCCAAAGUAUAUUGUAAAGAUUUUUAUGAUGUAAAGUCCCUUAUAUGUCUCUGAAUGAAUUUAGCUUUUGUGUUUGUCUGUGCCAGUGAGAGAGAUAAUCCUGUUGAAGGAAAGAACCAUCUAGUGUGGCACCUAAUGCAAUAGCACACAGAAAAUCUUGCCAUGCGGAGCUCUGAAUGUGCCCUCAAGGAGAACUUAUAUGCCAGGACUUCAUAGCACACAACAGCCACAUGUACUUAUCUAUAUAAUUUUUAACUUAAUGAAAAUAAAUAGCAGUAAAAAGCUUUGUUCUUCUACUUCAUUAGGAGUUAAUUUUCAACCAUCAUUUCACAGACUGGUCAAGCCCAAACAGAAUGAAACCCAAGAUAACUUGAAAGAUUAUCAAAUUUUGGUAACAGCUAACAAACUCUCUGUUUAAUGAUGAGCUACAUUAUAUCUGUUCCUCAGAAGUGAUCUAGGAAGUCACUACUAGAUAAUGUGGAAAAAUGAAAUACACUGAUUGAGCAGGAAAUUAAUCAGUCAGCUCACUCCUGGUACCUUUGAGAUGCUUCCUUCAAGAGUCUGGCUGUCUCUUUGUGGUACUUGUUAUUUGCACAUACUGAGGAUAUUCCUCUUGGAAACUUCUUUAUCGUAUGCUCUG